GUGCUCUAUGAAAGGAGAGAAGACUAGCACUCCCCUUGACAAGGAUGGAAGAGGCCCUCAGGCCUAAUGACGUGCCUGUGGUGACGGCAUCACCAUCCACCUCUUGGCAUCUAACCACUCUUUUGC